rnacentral:rRNA from 1 species
ACGGGUGAGUAACGCGUGAGUAACCUGCCUUUCAGAGGGGGAGUAACGUUCUGAAAAGAACGCUAAUACCGCAUGAGACUACAGAGCUGCAUGGCUCAGUGGUCAAAGGAGCAAUCCGCUGAAAGAUGGACUCGCGUCCGAUUAGAUAGUAGGCGGGGUAACGGCCCACCUAGUCGACGAUCGGUAGCCGGACUGAGAGGUUGAACGGCCACAUUGGGACUGAGACACGGCCCAGACUCCUACGGGAGGCAGCAUG